UUGAGGUUGAUCAGAUGUGGUUAUCCGUUGUCCCAUGUGGGGUCGGUGAUGCUGGAUGCCAGUGACGACAGACUCACAGGGUCCAUCCCUCAGGCCUGGGAUAAACUCGGGACGAUAACACGCCAACAGUUUUCUAAGGCUGUAUCGAUGGAAGCCCCAGAUAACAGCCUCUUAAAUCCCGAUCAAAGGGAUGUUGUAGUCCUGCAGGCUGACCUUAAGGAACAUCUCUCCCUGUCCGAGGUGGAUGGAAGACUCAGUGUGUCGGGGUGGACGGGCCAGCCGCUGGGUCUGUUCCGGGAGGGAGACCAGUUCCUAGCUCUGAACGACCUGCUCACCUGCAGCAUGGUGGAGUUUCAUGCCUACCUCAGCAGAUCCCUAAAAAAACAGGUCAAAGUGACCAUCUUGCGUCACCUGAAAGUCCCCAUCCACCGUCGCCACAGUUUACCUCACACUCUGUGAGCUAAACUGUGCAGGUUUAGACUUACAAGAGUUUGUAAUUCCGGGUAUCAUUUUAUCAUAAAAUGGUGGGAAGUUCGCCUUCGACACCCAGUUUGUGACAUUGUGAGAAUUCAAAUGCAAGGGCUUUCAUCCACAGACCAUAGGCUCAAUCACUAUUGUGAUACCUCAUUCGGUGAUGGAUAGUUACUUACAUUACCUUACAUUUAUUGAAACGAGAUUCGAGAUUCUUCGAGAUUGCCACUAUAAGUCAUCAUUUACUCUGUAGUCAACUUGAUCCAUCUACAUACACUAUAAAGCACUUAAUCCUGCACUAUAUCACUUUUCCACUACAGCUAUUCACUCCAUUAAAAAGUAUCUGAACUAGAACAUUUCUCAAGAGUAAAGUGUGCCUCUCCACGAGUCAUUCAAUCCCGGGAAUUUUCUCUCCAAAUUACUUUCCUCAGGCUUACUUUUGUUCUCCAGUUAAUAAUUCAUCUCCAAUCUGAACAUUAUAUUAUCUGAGAGUAGAGGUCUAGCCAUCACUUUGAAGAAUACAAAGCCUUCUGUCUGAAACUCCCAGACGUGUGUGUGACAGCGGUCAGUGGUAUUACUAUGAUGACAGCAACUUGAUGUAUUCUAUAGAGGAGCAGAUAGUGUCACACACACACACACACACACACACACACACACACACACACACACACACACACACACACACACACACACACACACACACACACACACACACACACACACACACACACACACACACACACACACUUUAUCGUUUAGCAGACUACGCUUUAUCCAAAGCAAGUACCCCCUUACAAGUAAGGCCGAGAAACCUAAUAAACGAAGAGGCAUGAGUAGCAAUGGAAACAGUUGUAUUAGUGGAAAACCAGUUGGACUAGACUCAGCCUGUUCUCCAAAAUAAAAUACAGAAUCUGACAUCUUUCAAUAUGACCCCAAAUUACUUAUUUGAGCGGUCGCUGGAACAGCGCCCCCUAUGGACUGGUCGAAGAAACAGAAAUAUGUCAGUAUCAAUAUCAGCCAAAACGAAUUGGAUGAUAUUCGUUUGCACUUUAAGAUUAGUUUUGAUAACAAUUCUUGCAAGAAAUGUGCAUUUUAUUUUCAUAAUCUUUCUUCAGUGAAUGAAUAGUUUAGUUGUGUAGUAUUCAUGUAACAAUUCACACUACAGUUGAUCUGAAAGGAGAGACAUGUUACGUAGUUAUGUACCGGAUGAGUAAUCAUAAAGAUGUCCAGGUUGAUGUCAAAUAAAAUCGGUUGAAUCGCCU
rnacentral:lncRNA from 1 species